UGUCUGGAGGAGCAUAAGGGCCUGGUCUGGUGGUGGUUCUACUUGCAGAAAUCAAUGGGCGUUCAGGAGCCUUCAGACUAGAGGCAAUUGUGUUUCCAGAAUUUGUCUGGAGUGAGGACACCAAGGAGUGCAGUGGAGAGGUACCUGGCAGAACAUCCCAGCGAAACAUCAAAAGAAAAGACUUCAGUCACCUGCGGUCAAAAGAGAUUCAGCUUGUCCAUCUCCCUGGAAAGGACACUAUUUAAAGGGGCCUAUGUGCUAUUGUCACUGCACGAUGGACUGUACAGCUGCAUCACUCCACUAGUACCAUCCACCCAUUCUGCCCGUCUGUCUCUGGCCUCCAUUACAUGGCUUUCUUAUGCCCAUACUUCAUCUCACUCUCUAGUACCACAUUUUGUCUGUCACCAUUUGUCACCUGUGUGUUGUCAGUGGGCUCCACAAUGCAGAGCAAAUGACUGAAAUUUGAAAAAUGCUCAGUGUGAUAAAAGCCCAGUCGUUUGAUUAAAGGCUGGUGCCCUGCCUUUUAAAUCAUACUUUGCUAACAUAGCAUGAAGGUUAACGUUAAGGAGGACAUGUGCUCUGACUUUGAACAGCCUGGCAUUGGUCAGUUUGUGUCAGAACGUUAA